rnacentral:rRNA from 1 species
CCUACGGGAGGCAGCAGUAGGGAAUAUUGCUCAAUGGGGGAAACCCUGAAGCAGCAACGCCGCGUGGAGGAUGAAGGUUUUAGGAUUGUAAACUCCUUUUGUUAGAGAAGAUUAUGACGGUAUCUAACGAAUAAGCACCUGCUAACUCCGUGCCAGCAGCCGCGGUAAUACGGAGGGUGCAAGCGUUACUCGGAAUCACUGGGCGUAAAGAGUGCGUAGGCGGGGUAAGAAGUCAGAUGUGAAAUCCUGUGGCUUAACUACAGAACUGCAUUUGAAACUGUUACUCUGGAGUGUGGGAGAGGUGGGUGGAAUUCUUGGUGUAGGGGUAAAAUCCGUAGAGAUCAAGAGGAAUACUCAUUGCGAAGGCGACCUGCUGGAAAAUUACUGACGCUGAUGCACGAAAGCGUGGGGAGCAAACAGGAUUAGAUACCCCUGUAGUC